GUUCAGCCCACUCUGCUUUGGUGGCCCAGCUCAUGGGUUUGGAUCCUGGGCACAGACUUACACCACUGGGCAGCCAUGCUGUGGUGGUGACCCACAUACAAAGUAGAGGAAGAUUGGCACAGAUGUUAGCUCAGGGCAACUCUUCCUCAGCAAAAAAAGAAAAGAAAAAAACCCCACACCCAUAUAAAGUAGAUAUGGUUAUCACCUCUACUUCCUGGAUGAGGAAGCAGAAGGGUAGGCACUGAGUGGUAGAGGCAGACUUUAAACCCAGUGCCUGUGCCCUAACCUGACUGUAACACCCAUUCCUCCACUACCCUCAGUAAGAGGGGGAGAGGUCAGGUCAACAGGUGACGUGGACUGGUCUGGAGGGUGGUGAAUGCCGGGCACGGGGAGGGAGGAGCCAGUGUUUUGGGAGAUUAAUCUGGGGUGUGUGUGGAGUCAACUGAGGGGCAGGUGCAUGGAGGGACUUGGGAGUUCGGGGGGCGCUACGGCCCCCUGGCCUCACUGAGGAGGGGGAGAGGAGUGAAGACAGAGAAGAAUCAGUAGAUAGGGCUUGGAACAUUCCUCAGGCCGUACCUUGCCUGGAAUUAAUGAACUUGGCAGAAAUUGUUCCCUCCCUGUCAGAGGACUGGCUCCCAGUUUAUUGUGGACUAUUCUUUUUAUUAUCAUAAAUUGCAAUUCAUGAGGGGUGAGGGGGCUUUUCUGGUGGGUCAAGCCAUCAGCCCACGGCAAGGGGCCAGGAGGGCCUGCCAGGCUUGGCCAGAAGCCUGAUGAUUUGCACAAUGUCCAGCCUCUGUCCUCCUCUCCAAAUUCCAUCAGCCAAACCCCAAACUGGGUGUUCAGGAAUCCUGGCACCAGCCCCUAUUGGUGGCCAGCCUGCAGGUCCCUGUGCAUGGCUGGAGCCACGCUCCUGUGCGGGGUGGUACCACCGCCUCCAUCUCCCUGCCUGCCAUCCACUGCUGCGCCUGCUCCACACUCCCAGAAGAACAAGCCAGAUCCCUGUUUCAACCUCUUCCAGUUUUCAUCCACAUUUCCCGAACGGAUGUAGGAUCUCACUCUGGCUUAGGUAAGAGCAGCC
rnacentral:lncRNA from 1 species